rnacentral:rRNA from 1 species
UUUUAUGGCUUUACCUGCUCGUCACUGUCCGAUCUCGUCAUAAUUUGGAAGCUAAGCAGGGUUGGGCCUGGUUAGCGCUUGGAUGGGAAAACCACUGGGAAUAUCAGGAGGCUCUGGUGG